rnacentral:rRNA from 1 species
GUGGCCUUAUGAAGCGGCUGCAUUGGCUUUUGAGGCGAUKCYWRGWASUCUUSCWCMGMWKUSCRGKSUUAAUGUUAYCCUGGACAGGCGGUGGAAACUACCAAGCUAGAGUACGUUAGGGGCAGAGGGAAUUUCCGGUGGAACGGUCAAAUGUAUUGAGAUCGGAAAGAACGCCAACAGCGAAGGCACUCUGCUGGGGCGAUACUGACACUGAGAGACGAAAGCUAGGGGAGCAAAUGGGAUUAGUGACCCCACUAGUCCUAGCCGUAAACGAUGGAUACUAAGUGUUUGUGCGGAUCCACCCGUACAGUGCUGUAGCUAACGCGUUAAGUAUCCCGCCUGGGGAGUACGUUCGCAAGAAUGAAACUCAAAGGAAUUGACGGGGGCCCGCACAAGCGGUGGAGCAUGUGGUUUAAUUCGAUCCAGAGCGAAGAACCUUACCAGGGCUUGACAUGCCGUGAAUCUUCUUGAAAGAGAGGAGUGCCUUCGUGAACAGCGGAGGAACGCGGACACAGGUGGUGCAUGGCUGUCGUCAGUUCGUGCCGUAAGGUGUUGGGUUCAGUCUCGCAACGAGCGCAACCCUCGUGUUUAGUUGCCAUGAUUUAGUUUGGAACCCUGAACAGACUGCUGGUGAUAAGCCGGAGGAAGGCGAGGAUAACGUCAAGUCAUUAUGCCCCUUAUGCCCUGGGCGACUUACGUGCUACAAUGGACGGGACAAAGGUCGCAAUCAUGUCCGCGAUCCCGCGAGGGUGAGCUAACUCCAAAAACCCGUCCUCAGUUCGGAUUGCAGACUGCAACUCGUCUGCAUGAAGCAGGAAUCGCUAGUAAUCGCCGGUCAGCCAUACGGCGGUGAAUUCGUUCUCGGGCCUUGUACACACCGCCCGUCACACUAGGGGAGCUGGCCAUGUUUGAAAUCUUGAAAACCUUAACCGCAAGGAGGUAAUCCAGCCACACCUUCCAGUACGACUACCUUGUUACGACUUCACUUUAGUCACUCGCCUUGC